rnacentral:rRNA from 1 species
GUGCACCAGUCGCGAAUCAUCCGCAAUGCGCGCAAGCGUGACGGUGCGACGCCGCGUGCGGGAGGAAGCCCUUCGGGGUGUAAACCGCUUUUCAGAGGUAUGAGGUGCGCCCGCCGAACAAGCGGGUGGCAUUGACGUCAACUCUGGAAUAAGCCACGGCUAACUUCGUGCCAGCAGCCGCGGUAAGACGAAGGUGGCAAGCGUUGCUCGGAAUUACUGGGCUUAAAGCGGGCGCAGGCGGCCCGGUCAGUCGGAUGUGAAAUCCCUUGGCUCAACCAAGGAAUGGCACCCGAUACUGCCGGGCUUGUGGCAUUCAGGGGCGACUGGAACUCUCGGUGGAGCGGUGAUAUGCGUAGAUAUCUGGAGGAACACCAGUGGCGAAGGCGGCCUCCUGGGCUGUCCCUGACGCUCAUGCGCGAAAGCUAGGGUAGCAAACGGGAUUAGAUACCCCUGUAGUCC